CUCGCGCCGAGCCGGAACUUCCGGCUCCUGAUCCAGCUGGAGUUGUCGGUGAAGACGAGGGAACUGAGAGUGGCGGCGCCGCCUCUCAGCGUGACGGCGAGAUCGCCGGUCAGCAGGGGCCUCUUCCCCUCUCUCUCCCGCACCACGCUGCCGGCGAACUCCUUCUCCGUCCACUCUUCCCGCUCGUCGCCGCAGAAGUCGCCGUCGAGGACGACGAUCUCGACUCG
rnacentral:lncRNA from 1 species